rnacentral:lncRNA from 1 species
GUAUAUAUGGAUUAGGUACGUGAUUUGACGAUGGAUUUCACGAACAUGUUUUUAAGUGACUACGCGUCAUACGAUAUUUGAGCAUUUUACCAUAGGCAGUUAGUCGAUGUGCUAUGAAAUAAAAAUCUAGUCAACAAUUUGACGGAUAAGGAUAACGACAUUAAAGAAGACGUCAAACCGAAGUAUUUUGUUGUCUCCGUACCUAGUCAGUACAAGUGAGUGAUUUUGCGAGUAUUACCAAUAGGUCGUGUCUUGAAUAUCGCCGCAGAUACGCUGCACGGCUCCUCCAGAUAAGUCGUGGUCGCGUCGUAUUAUUUGGUCGCACCGCGCAACAAUAAUAUAAUAAUAUUAUAUAACCACACUGAGUCGGAUCGACACGUGAAAAGAAGCAGCAAACCGUCCGAACCGCAAUCAUGAUGGGUUCGCAAAACGCAGAGCCGGAACUCCAGUCGUUCCUGUUGGAUGACAAGUCCAAGAUGAAAGAAGUACCGCAAACUAA